rnacentral:rRNA from 1 species
AUAAGCGGAGGAAAAGAAACCAACAGGGAUUACCUCAGUAACGGCGAGUGAAGCGGUAACAGCUCAAAUUUGAAAGCUAGCUCUUCUAGGGUUCGCAUUGUAAUUUGUAGAAGAUGCUUCGGGUGUGGCCCCGGUCUAAGUUCCUUGGAACAGGACGUCAUAGAGGGUGAGAAUCCCGUAUGUGACUGGGUGCUUUCGCUCAUGUGAAGCUCUUUCGACGAGUCGAGUUGUUUGGGAAUGCAGCUCAAAAUGGGUGGUAAAUUUCAUCUAAAGCUAAAUAUUGGCCAGAGACCGAUAGCGCACAAGUAGAGUGAUCGAAAGAUGAAAAGCACUUUGGAAAGAGAGUUAAACAGUACGUGAAAUUGUUGAAAGGGAAGCGCUUGCAACCAGACUUGCGCGCUGAUGAUCAUCCGGGCUUCUGCCCGGUGCACUCGUCUGCGCUCAGGCCAGCAUCGGUUUCGGUGGUGGGAUAAAGGCCUUGGGAAUGUAGCUUCUUUCGGGGAGUGUUAUAGCCCUCGGUGCAAUGCCGCCUACCGGGACCGAGGACCGCGCUUCGGCUAGGAUGCUGGCGUAAUGGUUGUAAGCGACCCGUCUUGA